rnacentral:rRNA from 1 species
UACGGAGGGGGCUAGCGUUAUUCGGAAUUACUGGGCGUAAAGCGCACGUAGGCGGCUUUGUAAGUCAGAGGUGAAAGCCUGGAGCUCAACUCCAGAACUGCCUUUGAGACUGCAUCGCUUGAAUCCAGGAGAGGUGAGUGGAAUUGCGAGUGUAGAGGUGAAAUUCGUAGAUAUUCGCAAGAACACCAGUGGCGAAGGCGGCUCACUGGCCCGGUACUGACGCUGAGGUGCGAAAGCGUGGGGAGCAAACAGG